rnacentral:tRNA from 1 species
GCGGGAGUAACUCAGCGGUAGAGUACCUCGUUGCCAACGAGGCUGUCGUCGGUUCGAUCCCGAUCUCCCGCUCCA